rnacentral:rRNA from 1 species
UGGGGAAUAUUGCGCAAUGGGCGAAAGCCUGACGCAGCGACGCCGCGUGGGGGAUGAAGGCCUUCGGGUUGUAAACCUCUUUCAGCAGGGACGAAUUCAGACGGUACCUGCAGAAGAAGCACCGGCCAACUACGUGCCAGCAGCCGCGGUAAUACGUAGGGUGCAAGCGUUGUCCGGAAUUAUUGGGCGUAAAGAGCGUGUAGGCGGCCAGUUAGGUCCGUUGUGAAAACUCGAGGCUCAACCUCGAGACGCCGAUGGAAACCAAUUGGCUAGAGUCCGGAAGAGGAGAGUGGAAUUCCCGGUGUAGCGGUGAAAUGCGCAGAUAUCGGGAAGAACACCCGUGGCUAAGGCGGCUCUCUAGUACGGUACUGACGCUGAGACGCGAAAGCGUGGGGAGCGAACAG